rnacentral:rRNA from 1 species
UGCAAGUCGAACGGUAACGGGCCUUCGGGUGCCGACGAGUGGCGAACGGGUGAGUAAUGCAUCGGAACGUACCUUUCAGUGGGGGAUAACGUAGCGAAAGUUACGCUAAUACCGCAUAUUCUGUGCGCAGGAAAGCAGGGGAUCGCAAGACCUUGCGCUGACUGAGCGGCCGAUGUCAGAUUAGCUAGUUGGUGAGGUAAAGGCUCACCAAGGCGACGAUCUGUAGCGGGUCUGAGAGGAUGAUCCGCCACACUGGAACUGAGACACGGUCCAGACUCCUACGGGAGGCAGCAGUGGGGAAUUUUGGACAAUGGGGGCAACCCUGAUCCAGCCAUGCCGCGUGAGUGAAGAAGGCCUUCGGGUUGUAAAGCUCUUUCGGCCGGGAAGAAAUCGCAUGGGCCAAUACCCUGUGCGGAUGACGGUACCGGCAUAAGAAGCACCGGCUAACUACGUGCCAGCAGCCGCGGUAAUACGUAGGGUGCGAGCGUUAAUCGGAAUUACUGGGCGUAAAGCGUGCGCAGGCGGUUUUGUAAGACAGGCGUGAAAUCCCCGGGCUCAACCUGGGAACUGCGCUUGUGACUGCAAGGCUAGAGUACGGCAGAGGGGGGUGGAAUUCCACGCGUAGCAGUGAAAUGCGUAGAGAUGUGGAGGAACACCAAUGGCGAAGGCAG